AGCAGCCGCGGUAAUUCCAGCUCCAAUAGCGUAUAUUAAAGUUGUUGCAGUUAAAAAGCUCGUAGUUGAAUUUUGGGUCUGGCCGGGCGGUCCGCCCUCUGGGUGAGCACUGUUCCGACGCCGGGCCUAUCCUUCUGGUGAGUCGGCAUGUCCUUUAUUGGGUGUGUCGGGGAACCAGGACCAUUACCUUGAAAAAUUAGAGUGUUCAAAGCAGGCGUAUGCUCGAAUACAUUAGCAUGGAAUAAUGAAAUAGGACGCGUGGUGCUAUUUUGUUGGUUUCUAGAACCGCCGUAAUGAUUAAUAGGGAUAGUUGGGGGCAUUAGUAUUCAAUUGUCAGAGGUGAAAUUCUUGGAUUUAUUGAAGACUAACUUCUGCGAAAGCAUUUGCCAAGGAUGUUUUCAUUAAUCAAGAACGAAAGUUAGGGGAUCGAAGACGAUCAGAUACCGUCGU
rnacentral:rRNA from 1 species